rnacentral:rRNA from 1 species
UACGUAGGGGGCUAGCGUUGUCCGGAAUCAUUGGGCGUAAAGAGCGUGUAGGCGGCCCGGUAAGUCCGCUGUAAAAGUCAAAGGCUCAACCUUUGAAUGUCAGUGGAUACUGCCGGGCUAGAGUCCGGAAGAGGCGAGUGGAACUCCUGGUGGAGCGGUGGAAUGCGCAGAUAUCAGGAAGAACACCAAUGGCGAAAGCAGCUUUCUGGGACGGUACUGACGCUGAGACGCGAAAGCGUGGGGAGCGAACAGG